rnacentral:rRNA from 1 species
UGGUGGAGUGAUUUGUCUGGUUAAUUCCGUUAACGAACGAGACCUCGACCUGCUAAAUAGUUCUGCGUAAGCUUUGCUUAUGCAAGAACUUCUUAGAGGGACUAUCGGUUCUUAGCCGAAGGAAGUUCGAGGCAAUAACA